CUACCAUCGCCAAUUAUAAGACGUUCGACAUUAAUGUGUCCGAAUUCCAAGGAGUGAUUUUCAUCGUUAAGAUAUUCGGCUAACCUUACGUUCCAAUCAACACCGAUAAAAACAGUAAAGUAUCUCUGUUGAAUUUAAUUACGUUUGAAAAAGGUGGAACGAAUCGAUUGAUAGGUGUACGACUGAAGGUAGCACGAGCCGCUCGUGUUUCGAAUCAACGGGGGAUGAAGAAGAGGAGAAGAAAGAGGAGGAAGGAUAGAGGGUAGUAAAGUGGAUGGAAAAUGGAGGGUGAGACGAGGGUGUAGAAAAAGAAAGAAAGAAGGAAUGAAAAGGAAAAAAAAUGUCCAUGGCAUCAUGCAGAGAAAAACGAAGAAUUAUAUAUAUAUAUAUAUCUUUCUCUCUCUCUCUCUCUCUCUCUGU